GACGGAAGGUGCAAGCGUUGCUCGGAAUCACUGGGCGUAAAGGGUGCGUAGGCGGCCGCGCAAGUCUGGCGUGAAAGCCCCGGGCUCAGCCCGGGAAGGGCGCUCGAAACGGCGCGGCUCGAGUGGCGGAGGGGAGAGUGGAAUUCCUGGUGUAGCGGUGAAAUGCGUAGAUAUCAGGAGGAAUACCGGUGGCGAAAGCGACUCUCUGGACGGCAACUGACGCUGAGGCACGAAAGCGUGGGGAGCAAACAGG
rnacentral:rRNA from 1 species